ACGGGUGAGUAACACGUGGGUGAUCUGCCUCGCACUCUGGGAUAAGCCUGGGAAACUGGGUCUAAUACCGGAUAUGACCUUACAUCGCAUGGUGUUUGGUGGAAAGAUUUAUCGGUGCGAGAUGGGCCCGCGGCCUAUCAGCUUGUUGGUGGGGUAAUGGCCUACCAAGGCGACGACGGGUAGCCGGCCUGAGAGGGCGACCGGCCACACUGGGACUGAGACACGGCCCAGACUCCUACGGGAGGCAGCAGUGGGGAAUAUUGCACAAUGGGCGAAAGCCUGAUGCAGCGACGCCGCGUGAGGGAUGACGGCCUUCGGGUUGUAAACCUCUUUCGACAGGGACGAAGCGCAAGUGACGGUACCUGUAGAAGAAGCACCGGCCAACUACGUGCCAGCAGCCGCGGUAAUACGUAGGGUGCGAGCGUUGUCCGGAAUUACUGGGCGUAAAGAGCUUGUAGGCGGCUU
rnacentral:rRNA from 1 species